rnacentral:rRNA from 1 species
CCAGCAGCCGCGGUAAUACGUAGGUGGCGAGCGUUAUCCGGAUUUAUUGGGUUUAAAGGGUGCGUAGGCGGCUGAUUAAGUCAGCGGUGAAAGGUAGCAGCUUAACUGUUUUACAUGCCGUUGAUACUGGUUAGCUUGAGUUGACAGAAGGCAGAUAGAAUUUCUGGUGUAGCGGUGAAAUGCUUAGAUACCAGGAGGAAUACCGAUUGCGAAGGCAGUCUGCUGCAGUCACACUGACGCUGAGGCACGAAAGUGCGGGGAUCAAACAGGAUUAGAUACCCUGGUAGUCCGCACAGUAAACGAUGAUUACUAGUUGUUGGCGAGAGUCAGUGACCAAGGGAAACCGAUAAGUAAUCCACCUGGGGAGUACGCCGGCAACGGUGAAACUUAAAGGAAUUGGCGGGGGAC